rnacentral:rRNA from 1 species
UGCCAGACUCCUACGGGAGGCAGCAGUGGGGAAUAUUGCACAAUGGGGGAAACCCUGAUGCAGCGACGCCGCGUGAGCGAUGAAGUAUUUCGGUAUGUAAAGCUCUAUCAGCAGGGAAGAAGAUGACGGUACCUGACUAAGAAGCCCCGGCUAACUACGUGCCAGCAGCCGCGGUAAUACGUAGGGGGCAAGCGUUAUCCGGAUUUACUGGGUGUAAAGGGAGCGUAGACGGCGAUGCAAGCCAGAUGUGAAAGCCCGGGGCUCAACCCCGGGACUGCAUUUGGAACUGUGUGGCUGGAGUGUCGGAGAGGCGGGCGGAAUUCCUAGUGUAGCGGUGAAAUGCGUAGAUAUUAGGAGGAACACCAGUGGCGAAGGCGGCCUGCUGGACGAUGACUGACGUUGAGGCUCGAAAGCGUGGGGAGCAAACAGGAUUAGAUACCCGGGUAUG